rnacentral:rRNA from 1 species
UACGAAGGGGGGCUAGCGUUGUUCGGAAUUACUGGGCGUAAAAGCGCACGUAGGCGGAUCGAUCAGUCAGGGGUGAAAUCCCAGAGCUCAACUCUGGAACUGCCUUUGAUACUGUCGAUCUGGAGUAUGGAAGAGGUGAGUGGAAUUCCGAGUGUAGAGGUGAAAUUCGUAGAUAUUCGGAGGAACACCAGUGGCGAAGGCGGCUCACUGGUCCAUUACUGACGCUGAGGUGCGAAAGCGUGGGGAGCAAACAGG